CAGAGUUCAUGCCCUCACGGGUAGAUCUCCCACCCUUGAAUACUAUACCUUUGUUGCUUUGGCGGGCCGCUUUGGCUACUGGCUCCGGCUGGUGAGCGCCCGCCAAAGAAUCCCAAAACUCUGAAUAUUUGUGUCGUCUGAGUACUAUAUAAUAGUUA
rnacentral:misc_RNA from 1 species